rnacentral:rRNA from 1 species
CCUACGGGAGGCAGCAGUGGGGAAUAUUGCACAAUGGGGGAAACCCUGAUGCAGCGACGCCGCGUGAGUGAAGAAGUAUCUCGGUACGUAAAGCUCUAUCAGCAGGGAAGAACAUGACGGUACCUGACUAAGAAGCCCCGGCUAACUACGUGCCAGCAGCCGCGGUAAUACGUAGGGGGCAAGCGUUAUCCGGAUGUAAUGGGUGUAAAGGGAGCGUAGACGGGUGCACAAGUCUGGAGUGAAAUCCCGGGGCUUAACCGCGGAACGGCUUUGGAAACUGUGCGGCUGGAGUGCAGGAGGGGUAAGCGGAAUUCCUAGUGUAGCGGUGAAAUGCGUAGAUAUAAGGAGGAACACCGGUGGCGAAGGCGGCUUACUGGACUGUAACUGACGGUGAGGCUCGAAAGCGUGGGGAGCAAACAGGAUUAGAUACCCGUGUAGGC